ensembl:lncRNA
UUUUUUUUCACCAGCAAUUUUGCACUCAGUUUCAACUGUUUCACUCCCAUUCUGCUUCUGAUUUUCUAGGUGGCCUUCGGAUACAGGUCCUGCUCUCCUGAAUGACUUUUCCAACUUCCAUAAUCCUUUGAAUAUCCUCAGAGUCCCUGUGGGCACACGGCAGAGUGACAAGAAGCAGCACAGAGCCGCCAACAGGAGUCUGGAGCUGUAAUUUGCACUGACAUUCACUGGUGUUAUCCACUUAGUGCCUGGCAAGUUGAAGGGUGCUUACAGCGGUGAAGUGUGGUCCAAAGCCUCCGUGUGCUUGAACUCACUGGAUCCUCUUGACAACCCCACAUGACAGGGUGAAAGAGGAAAAGUGAGAGCAAUCAUGUCCCUCCAUUCCUAGGACCCAAGACUCAGUGAUCAAAACAGACCCUGCCAGGUACAAUAUAGAGCACAAG